UACGUAGGGGGCGAGCGUUGUCCGGAUUUACUGGGCGUAAAGCGCGCGUAGGCGGAAGCGUAAGUGUGGCCUGAAAGCCCCCGGCUCAACCGGGGAGGGUGGCUGCAAACUGCGCUUCUUGAGGGCGAUAGAGGAGUGUGGAAUUCCUGGUGUAGCGGUGAAAUGCGUAGAGAUCAGGAGGAACACCCGUGGCGAAGGCGGCACUCUGGGUCGGCCCUGACGCUGAGGCGCGAAAGCUAGGGGAGCAAACGGG
rnacentral:rRNA from 1 species